rnacentral:snoRNA from 1 species
UCAUGACGUAUGAUGAUAAGCAUAGUUCAUUUGAGCAUACUUAUGCCAUGAAAAUGAUUAUAGCAUUGUCUUUCGCUCCUAUCUGACGUUUUGA